rnacentral:miRNA from 1 species
AGAUGUUGUAGAACUACAAAUCCCAUGAUGCUUUGUCAUUCUAAAUGCAUUAUAAAAGCAGCAAAGCAUCAUGGGAUUUGUAGUUCUACAACA